UCUUGGCGACACCUGUGUUCAUUUAUUUUGUCCGCCCCUGUUAAUAUAUGUUUGUACACCCACAUUUAAAGUGAAUAACCUAAGUUAAUCACUAUCAAUUUUCUGAUUGAGAAUUUAUUUACCUUAUUAUAGCCCUACUCAUUAAUUAUUUUGUGUCCAAAGAAGAAAUUGAAAUCGCCUCGGCUGUUCAGUUAUUGUAUUUGCUCAGCGUUUUCUUACACCUAGGUUCACAAAAGGAGAAACUUAUACGCGCAACCUAGCGCACACACACAAACACGCGGGCAUCCCAAAACACACACGCACGCACCCACUCACGCACACGCACACACGCACUUAUAAACCCACGCACGAUCACGCAUACACCCACGCCCACAGGUAGACAAACACAGACACACGCCUAUAGACGGGUGUGUUUCGCAGGCAUAAAACAGAGCAGCAGUGGAUGGCUUAUGGGCAAUAGUAGCCCUUCAUUGAUGCAAAGUCAAGAGAUAGGGGCAUGCCUGGCUGUCAUGAUGUAGUCUUCACCGACUGGACAACGCAGUUACUGAUUGGGGACGAAGUGCAAAUAUAGUGGUAAUAGCACCCAUACGUAACGACAAAAGGAUGCGUAAACAAAGGAGCCACGUGACGGAGUUCCAUGUGAUGUCAAGAUGUCCAAUGGCCGAUUUGGUUUGAGAAUGGCUCGGGCCUGAGGGGGAAUGAGCGAUACACAGCACCGAGUGUCCGCUUGAAUGCGCCAAUGAGCAAAGUAGACCAGGACAGUCCGUAAAUUGACCAAGGUCGGUCCAGUCAGCCAAUUUACGGCACAGCAAACGUAGUAGUAUCUGCAUCGGUACAAUACGUUAUUUUGGUAACUGCCCGAUACCUCCAAAUAUUCAUCCAAAACCUCGAGGUGAUCAACUCAUCUGGAAGAAUAUGGAAAACGUUCUAGCCUACUUAUUUUAGUAAUUGGAAAAUAACCAAAAUCAACGCGUGUGAAUAAAUCAUAUGGUAGGCUACAUAACUGAACAUUAUAAAUACAUUUACAUUCAGGGCAUUUAGGGGACGAUUUUAUCCAAAGCGAACUUUUAAAUAAAUAAAAAGUAAGUCCAACUGACAGAUGUACAGAUAGCCUAUAUAUAGAGAGAGAGUAGGAGAGGGCAAUUCCCCCGGCAGCAUUAGUCACAUAGGAUACAGCAGAACGGAACACGCUAGCGGGGUAUGGGAACUUAAGAAAGACACUUUUGUUAUGGUCAAAGUUUUAUCUUUAUACUGACCCCUAGCGUAGCCAAUGUUAUGUCUGACAGCUGAUUAUCGGAUAAGUGGAUCAUAGCCUAUAUGGACUCUUGUCAUGUGAAGUGAACAGCCUGCAUAUGUUCCAUUGUUGCUCCCAGUGACUCAUUAUUUUAAUAAUUGAUGAAUUUCACCAAGACAAUUCCAUUGACCUAUAUGCAUGUUUCAUUAAAUGUAAUAGUAUUUAUCUGAUCUUGGUUGUUUGUGCAAUCAUAGCCUACUCAAUUGUAUUCAAUAUCUGAUAUUUGUUGUAUGACGAUGUAAGACGCCAUAGGCCUACUGAUAAAUGAUAGGCCUGAGAAUCUAAUCGGCGUACCUGGUUAGGUAGGACAAAACCAUCUGUUUCCGUAUACUUCUCAAUGAGGUAAACAAUAUGAGCUGUGAGUACAACCACUGAAUCAGUGAACUGAACUCCUUGGCAACAUGAGUUAGACUAAGGCACACAUUAAGAUCGUAUAGGUAGGGUAAAAGGCUAUUUCAACUUUGUCCCUGUACUUUACUGAUUACAUAUCCACUCAGAGAAAACUCACAUUGAGUAAUGUAUUUUACGUUAGAUCGUUUGUAUUACCCUACUAAUCUGGAGUUAAAUAUAAAAUUCCAAGUAUUUGUUUGUAGAAUUAGUCUUGCAUAUACCAGAACGUGUCUGUGAGUGUUGAGCGAACAGGGUUUAGGGUUGUCCUUUGACGUAACUUUUAGGAGGUGGGUGUGUGAUAUACAACCUUCGGAAUGGUUAUAUUAGCGUAUCAACGCAUGACGGAAAGCCAUAUCAUUCUUAUCUAAUUUUUACCUUAUUCAUUUCUUUACACGCUAAAAUGGAUCCCAGGUGUUUAUCAAUUUAGGCAGCUACACGUUUCUUCCACAAAUAGGAAAUUGUCAACCAUCAAGUUUCAUUUAUCUUAAAGCAUGGGGCCAUAGCCUACUGUUAAAAGGGCUGAUACUUUUUGCAUUAAACACUGCUUUGAAUUAA